CAACUAAAUAACUCUCUAGGGUUAAAUGUUCGAUCUGUUCCCACUUCCUCAGCCACAUUUCUUCCUUACUCCUCUUCUUUUUCUCUCUCCUCAUACCACUCUCUCUUUUCGCAUCUAUCUUCUUCCUCACUCAUUUGCUCUUUUUCUCUCCUCAAAUCACUCGCUCUCUCUACUCAAACAAGAAAAUUGUCAAUAGCUAAACUCACGAGUGAUUUGCUCAAGAAGAUUAGGGAGAUCGAGGCUGAUGAGACGUUGUCUGAGCCUGAAAAGGCGAAGAAGUGUCAUCAACUUCUGGGUGGGGUUAGAUCCGGAGCAAGCAUCGAUUGCCCACAACCACCGUCGCCGCCGUCGUCAAUUUGAACCUAAUACAACAACAACAACAAACUUGAAUCAAGUAUUGAUUCAAAAAUCAGAAAUUUGAUGAUAGGGUUUCUGGGUUCUUUAGCUUUGCAUUUCGGUCCAAUUAUUCAGGGUUAGGGUUUUCUAAAUGGACCCAGUUGCUUCGGUUGUCGAUAAUUUAAAAUCAUUUGCAAAAUGCGGCCAAUAUCUUAUCACCGGCAUCACUCGCCGCCGGCAGAAUUAGUCCCGUUAAAAUCUGGUACAAAGACGUAUUGCACAAAAUUGUGAGGCUACUCGCAAAAGUCGUAUGCGGAAAAAGGUCUAUAUUCAGCAAUUAGAGUUGAGCCAUUCAAAAUUGAUGCAAAUGGAGCAAGAGCUUGAACGAGUGAGAUAACAUGGUACGCUUGUGAGCAAUGGUAUUGACCCGCUUCCUUUCUCUGCCACUGUAAAUUCAGGGAUUGUUGCAUUUGAGAUGGAGUAUGGAGAUUGGGUUGAGGAGCAGAAUAAACAGAUUUGCGAACUCAGAAAUUCAUUGAAUACCCAUAUAACCGAUGUUGAACUUUGGAUUCUGGUAGAUAGUGGCAUGAAGCACUAUUAUGAUCUUUUUCAAUUGAAGGCAGGUGCAGCAAAGGCCGAUAUAAUGUUGGAGUAAUUGUCAACCCCAAGGGUGAAAUGAAAGGAUCUACUAUUACUGGUCCCAUUGCAAAGGAGUGUGCUGAUUUGUGGCCAAGGAUUGCUAGUGCUACCAAUGCCAUUGUCUAAGAGAUGUCGUUCAGAGUUUCCAAUUUUGUUUUGCUAUAAUUCUGAAUGUUUAUAGUUGGAUAAAUGAACAAUGCCGGUUUGAUAGGAUGUGUUAAGUCAAUUUGUGAGUUUGCAAGAUAUUAGUUGAUUGUAUAUUAAUUUAUACUAUAUUUGUAUAAAAUAUAAAUAUCUCACAUUAUUAAUUGAUAAAAUAUUGUGCAAAGCAAUCCAGCAU